CAUUUUCCUUACCACCACUUUCCUACAAAAACAUAUUUUUGACUUUUUUUUUAAAGGAGAGACAGUACAACUGUAUGUGGCAAUAAAGUGUGGGAAAAUACGACCCCAUCAUUUCUUACUCCACUUUCAUUCUCUCUUAUACAGGAUUGCCAUGAGACCUAAUACACUUACUAUUCCCAGGACAAGCUGCCAGUUUGCACCUGUAUUGUGACCUGCAUUGGUAUCAGUGGAAGCCACAGGAAGGACAUGAAAGUUUUUAAUCCUGAGAGCCCCUGCUUUCAAAGAAGAUGAAGAGAAGGAAGAAGAGAGAGAAACAAAAAGCAGCCCAAUGCAAUUUAUCCUAGCUCUGCCGGACACUGUGAAGAAAAAACAGCUAUCAUGGAAUAUGUAAAUCUCCACUCCAACUUUUGAAAGUCUUCUUCAGCUACCACUUUGGCUUUUGUGGUUCAAGCAGACAUGGUCACACAUUAUCAACCACAAGGUCUAGAAACUUGCUUUUUGAAAAAAAUGAAAGUGAAGAAACUACAUUUUUUUCUACAUUCCUGCAGGAUUGCGGUCUGCCUAUUAUUUUUAAUUUUUACUAUGUUGGAUCAUCUGCCACACCAUGAAAAAACCAUGAAAAGAAUCAGAGACAUGACAUAACAACUACAAGACCAGAAGCAGAGGUGAAGGGAGAAAAUUGAGAAGUAACACAAGAUUUAAGGAACAUGAAGACUUCAACCUUACCACCCCUAGCAUUCUGUUGGUUCUAGUAAGGAGCUGCAUUUUCCAGCCUGAUUGCCUCUUCUUGCAUCAUGCAGCCUCAAAACCAACAUGCUUUCAUCCAGAAGAAGUGGCUUCUUUCUCAGUGCCUGGGAACAGCUGAUAUGAGAAAAAGUUUGGAUUUGGAAAAUACAGAAUGGAGUGCAUUGCAUUUGGCAAGCAACACACCACUAUACUUCUAGAUGUGGAAAUUAAAGAUCUUGAUAAAAUCUCUGAAAGCAGUGCUUGGAAACAACCCAAACAUGAUAGAAGGAUCUCAAUUUGAUUUCAAGAUUGCAAGGAGCAUUGUGAAAGCCUUCCAGUCACUCUACCAUCUCACAGUUCUUUUGAAUCUUAGGCUUGUUUCUUCAGCACCAAAGCAAGCGCCAACAGCGGUCUCUCAUGGGGCUUAACAGAAGGUUGGGAGCUGCCAGAGGGAGAAGGCUUUUGAAGGACUAGAAAAUAGCCUCAUCCGAAAAGGGAUAUAUUAUACAUCUGUACUUGUGCCAAAACUGCUGAGAACCAAACCUGUUUCUGUUUGUCAUCUAUCCCAACUUCAAUUUGUGAUGGCACUAUGAAUGGGAGAUCUCCAAGAAACCCUGAUCAUCAACUAUCCAUCUCAGGUCUUGAAAACUCAAGGCCUUUGUUGAAUCUAGCCACGUGUGAUGCCAUCUUCCCUCUUGGCUUACUGCCUUCCAAUUUGGAGUGUUAUAUCAGCAAAAGGGUUUUAAGUAUCAGACAAAGAUGAAGAUGUAGUAAUCUUCAAGAAGGAACAAGGCUCACUGGAUAUAUAUACAUAUUUACACACACGUCCCUCACCACACCUUAUACACAGAGAAAUCAACAACUGAAAACCAAGUUUACGAACAAAAAUUUCUGCAUGAUUCCUAGCUUUCUAUAUUGAGGAGUAAGUAUUUUACUAUACAAAUCUCCUUCUAUAGUUUGGAUGAUACAGCCCCAAUAUUGGGGGGGGGGGGCACAAUCUUGUAAAAUAAAUCAGUGUUUAUACAGAGCACAAAAAGCUACUUAGAGGAUUGUAUGUACAAUUUUGGGACUAUAAUUCCCAUAGAUAGUGGAGGAAGUUUGGAAGUUCUGGCACAAAAAGGUAACUUUGCCAACCUCUGAUUUAUAACAUUAAACAUCUCUGUGUCUGUUAUUUUGUGGGAAGGGGGUUCUUCUAAAGAUCAUUCAGUUCUGAAGAUGACAUAUAGAUGGAAUAAAAUACACUGACAUCAACAUGUAAAUGCUGUAAUCCUGGGGUGUAAUUUCUUUUUUUAAAAAUGCAUCUUUCUCUCUGAUGUGCAAUGAGAUACGUGGGCCAGAUGUAAGUACAGUUUAAAUAAAUUGGAAAAUGUGUUUGAAUAAAGAGGAUAAAAGUA